GAAAAGUAGUGCCAUCUCUCACUGAAACAGCAAAAUGCCACACCUUAACAAUGGCAGAUGCACGAUGAUGGGAUGGCUGUUGCAGCUAAGUCUGCCUGCCAAUGUCAUGCGCAUUUCUGGUUAUCACGGGUGAAAUAAGUCACACAAACUGGGUGCCCCAGGACUGGUCUAGCGAAAUAACUUGGCCUUCUGUUUCACAUUGCUUGCAUUGUAGAGCGGUGUUUUAGCAGAACCUGGCCCCUAGUUGGUUCGUGCAUAACCAUAUCAUUCACACAAGGAAGGACCCCUUCUGUCGUGAUAAUGCUAUUGCGUAGCACUCUUAUUUACGCAGCAUUCAAUACAUUGUACAAGUGCCCGCUUCUCAUGCUUUUCAAACAAAAGUCGGUGUCAUAAGGGUGCAGCCCAGUCAGAGAAUGGCAGUGAAAGUUGUGUGCCUCAUUGAGGAGUGGCACAGCGGGAAACAAAUGCUUAUUGCAGUGACAAAUGAAUUCAAUCGAGUUGCACUACAGAUACUUUCUGGGGUACCUGCCGAGAAGGAUGGCAUCAGCUUGCACAUUAGCACUAAGCCCACUUGGUUGAAGCAACAUGGUUAUAAAUUGGCUGUGGACGUAUUUUUGUCUACUUGCUCUUGCAAGUGCAGCAUGCUCAACCCGCACGUCUCAUUUCACAGCAAAAUGGCCGACUCACGCUUUAUGGACGCAGAGCACAUCGCCAGCUGCCCGUUUGUCUUGCAAAACAACUCACGAUUGACCAACCAAGCUACAGACAUCACCAGAGUUGCACAUUUUUGGUUGAAAAGUAUGCUCAAUGAAUUGUCAUAAAUUCAGUUUUAAAAUCAGUACAUAAGGGCUUCAACUGUUCAGAAUAAAAACAUUUGCCAGCAAUUAUGCUUGAGGAUUAUGCAGUUUUAGACAUCCCGCACACAAAAGCAAGAUGUUGCAGCUGCCCAUGCAACACUUGACGCGACUUCGUUGUGCGUUCUGGUUUAAGCACCAGUGCACCUAUGAAAUCGCGAGGCUGGUGCAGUUCCAAAGGACGCCUAAUGAUGAGCCGACAUACACAGACUUAUUGGAAUUUCUGGGGGCGGAAAAUGCGUGUUACGCAGUGGUAUCGAGCCUGGAUCGCCGAGAUGAUAGAAAAUCUCCUGUAUUGGUUUUUAUAUUAAUAUGCAUAGUCUUGUGUUACUUUCAAUGACUUAAGUCAUCGGAAGUGGCUGGGUGUGUUAAUUUUGUGUCCUUAUUUGUUGUUGCUUACAUUCUCAUUUUAAUAUAUCCAAAGAAAAGGUUUGCAUUGACAUGAUACAAACUGAUGG
rnacentral:lncRNA from 1 species